AAAACCUUUUUCCAGGAAUUGACUGAACCAAGGUCAUGGGUUGAGUGUGACACCCUAAAUAUCAUUUUUGAGUUCAUGAAAGAAAAAUUCUAUAGGCGACUAGACAUGUGUAUGGCUCGCUUCACCAUCCUACCAAUUGGAAUAACGAGUCAUCUAAAUUCUCGAGAUGGGGUCUACAAACAUAUCAAGAAUAAGUCGACCUUGAAAGCUGCCGUAGCAUGGGUGGAUGAGACGUUACCGGAUUAUGUCAUGGGUAAAUUUGAUG